rnacentral:rRNA from 1 species
GGAUUAAUACCGCAUAUAGCUAUAUAGUUGCAUGAUUAUGUAGUGAAAGAUUUAUUGGUAUAGGAGGAGUCUGCGGCACAUUAGCUAGUAGGUGAGGUAAAGGCUUACCUAGGCGACGAUGUGUAGCCGGUCUGAGAGGAUGAACGGCCACAAUGGAACUGAGACACGGUCCAUACUCCUACGGGAGGCAGCAGUGGGGAAUAUUGCACAAUGGGGGAAACCCUGAUGCAGCAACGCCGCGUGAGUGAAGAAGGUUUUCGGAUUGUAAAGCUCUGUUAGCAGGGAAGAGGAAGGACGGUACCUGCAGAGGAAGCCACGGCUAACUACGUGCCAGCAGCCGCGGUAAUACGUAGGUGGCAAGCGUUGUUCGGAAUAACUGGGCGUAAAGGAUGCGUAGGCGGUUAAACAAGUUAUAUGUUAAAUAUAUAGGCUUAACCUGUAGAAAGCAUAUAAAACUGUUUAACCAGAGUGCAGGAGAGGUAAGUGGAAUUCCUAGUGUAGCGGUGAAAUGCGUAGAGAUUAGGAAGAACACCAGUGGCGAAGGCGACUUACUGGACUGUAACUGACGCUGAGGCAUGAGAGCAUGGGGAGCAAACAGGAUUAGAUACCCUGGUAG